rnacentral:rRNA from 2 species
UACGUAGGUGGCAAGCGUUGUCCGGAAUUAUUGGGCGUAAAGGGCGUGUAGGUGGAUUCUUAAGUCGUGUGUCUAAGUGCGGAGCUCAACUCCGUAUGGGCGCAGGAAACUGGGAAUCUUGAGUGCAGGAGAGGAAAGUGGAAUUCCCAGUGUAGCGGUGAAAUGCGUAGAUAUUGGGAGGAACACCAGUGGCGAAGGCGACUUUCUGGACUGUGUCUGACACUGAGGCGCGAAAGCUAGGGGAGCGAACGGG